rnacentral:rRNA from 1 species
AUGACUUGUGAUAAUCUUAGGAAGAGAGGCAUAGUGAAGCCAUUGGAGUGUGUUUUUUGCAAGGAGAUUGAAUCUGUUCGUCACUUGCUUUUUGAAUGUGUGGUAGCUAGGCUAGUUUGGGCUGAGGUUAAUACUGUCUUCAACAUUUCUGUGGUUGGUUUUGAAUCUGUGGCUAAAUACUGGCUGUGCGCCAAAAAAUGCAAGCAACUGAAUGUUGUGAGCUCUGCUGUACUGUGGGGAUUCUGGAAUUUUAGGAAUUCUGUAGUGUUUAAUAGGUGCUCUUGGAUUUCUAUGAAACGGGUUCUGGGGCUAGUUUACCGCUAUCUGAGGGACUGGACCAAGCUGUUCUAA